rnacentral:rRNA from 1 species
GGAAUCUGCCCAGUAGUGGGGGACAACGUUUCGAAAGGAACGCUAAUACCGCAUACGUCCUACGGGAGAAAGUGGGGGAUCUUCGGACCUCACGCUAUUGGAUGAGCCUAGGUCGGAUUAGCUAGUUGGUAGGGUAAAGGCCUACCAAGGCGACGAUCCGUAACUGGUCUGAGAGGAUGAUCAGUCACACUGGAACUGAGACACGGUCCAGACUCCUACGGGAGGCAGCAGUGGGGAAUAUUGGACAAUGGGCGAAAGCCUGAUCCAGCCAUGCCGCGUGUGUGAAGAAGGCCCUCGGGUCGUAAAGCACUUUAAGUUGGGAGGAAGGGCUCAUAGCGAAUACCUGUGAGUUUUGACGUUACCAACAGAAUAAGCACCGGCUAACUUCGUGCCAGCAGCCGCGGUAAUACGAAGGGUGCAAGCGUUAAUCGGAAUUACUGGGCGUAAAGCGCGCGUAGGUGGCUUGAUAAGUUGGAUGUGAAAUCCCCGGGCUCAACCUGGGAACUGCAUCCAAAACUGUCUGGCUAGAGUGCGGUAGAGGGUAGUGGAAUUUCCAGUGUAGCGGUGAAAUGCGUAGAUAUUGGAAGGAACACCAGUGGCGAAGGCGACUACCUGGACUGACACUGACACUGAGGUGCGA